rnacentral:rRNA from 1 species
UACGUAGGGGGCAAGCGUUGUCCGGAAUCAUUGGGCGUAAAGCGCGUGUAGGCGGCCAGGUAAGUCCGUUCUGAAAGCCCGGGGCUCAACCCCGGGAGGCGGAUGGAUACUGCUUGGCUCGAGUCCGGAAGAGGAGAGUGGAAUUCCCGGUGUAGCGGUGAAAUGCGCAGAUAUCGGGAAGAACACCUAUGGCGAAGGCAGCUCUCUGGGACGGUACUGACGCUGAGACGCGAAAGCGUGGGGAGCGAACAGG